rnacentral:rRNA from 1 species
GUAGGACCCAAGCGUUGUCCGGAUUCACUGGGUGUAAAGGGAGCGCAGGCGGAUUUUCAAGUCGAUGGUGAAAUCUUGCGGCUCAACCGCAAAACAGCCGUCGAUACUGUUAAUCUUGAGUGUGGAAGAGAGUGGCGGAAUUCAUGGUGUAGCAGUGAAAUGCGUAGAUAUCAUGAAGAACACCGGUUGCGAAGGCGGCCACUUAGUCCAUUACUGACGCUCAUGCUCGAAAGCGUGGGGAUCAAACAGGAUUAGAUACCCUGGUAGUCCACGCCCUAAACGAUGAAUACUCGGUGUCGGGUCGCAAGAUUCGGCGCCUAAGCAAACGCAUUAAGUAUUCCACCUGGGAAGUACGAUCGCAAGGUUG